AUGGGUUGUUUAUCUUUUGCUAACUUAAAUAUAGAAACACCAUCUAAUGGUAGCCAGUUUUUUAUUACUUUAGAUAAAGUUGAAUAUCUAAAUAAUAAAAGCACCUUAUUUGGUAAAGUAGCAAAACAUAGCUUAUAUAAUUUGUUAAAGUUUAAUAAUAUAAAAACAAAUAAAAAUGAUGAACCAAUAGAAGAUAUACCUUAUAUCGAAUAUAUAAAAAUUAUUGAAAACCCAUUUUAUCAUUUAGUCCCUUAUACAAAUUAUGACGUUAUUGCUAGUAGUAGUAAUAGAAUUAGUAACACAAAAGAAUUAGAAGUGGAUGAAAAAUACAAUAACAUAGUACAAAAAAAAAAAAAAAAAUUAAAUAAUAAUCUGUUAUCUUUUAAUAGUGACAACAGUGAAAAUGACUCAAGUGAUAGUCAAACAGAAAAUCAAUUUUUAAAGAAAAAGAAUCAAAAAGCAGCAACAGAAACAGCGGUAUUAGAAACAGCAGGAACAGAAGUAACAGUACAUUCCGUUCAAUCUGAUACUGAAGAGAAUGAUAUUUUGGAAAAUAAAAGAAAAAAAAAUCAAGAUGAUGAUAAGCACAAUCAACCACAUGAUCACAUUAAUGAAAAUGAAAAUACUACUUCUUAUUUGGGAGUUAUGAAAAGGAAAAAAGAAGCUGAGGAGAGUUUUGAAAGAAGCUUCCAAAAGAAAACACGUCAUAACUUAGAAGGAACAGUAAAAAAAGAGACAAAAAAAGAGACAAAAAAAGAGACAAAAAAAGAGACAAAAAAGGAGGCAAAAAAAGAAAACGAAAAGAAGGUCUCAACUGAAUCUUCAAUUGAAAAAGCAAGUUAUAUAAAAACGAAUCAAGAAAAAAUCAAUAUAUAUAAAGAAAAAAUUAAAAUGAUAACCGAGAAAAAUAAAGAUAAAAAUGAAAAAACCAAGACGAAUGAAAAUAAUCUACAAAAUGUUGGGGAUCUAUCAAAGAAUUUAGAUGAAGUAUAUUUAAAAAAAAAAAAAAAAAAAAAAAUGUCCAAGAAGGAAAGAGAAAUGGAGGUAAUAAAAAAAAUUGAAAAUGAAAAAUGUUACAAUUUUGUUUAUUUGUGUAUAUACUUACCUAUCUAUCUGCCUAACUACCUACCUACCUAUCUACUUACUUACUUACCUAUGUAUGUAUGUAUUUUUUUUUUUUGA
rnacentral:lncRNA from 1 species